AGAGUUUGAUCCUGGCUCAGAUUGAACGCUGGCGGCAUGCCUUACACAUGCAAGUCGAACGGUAACAGGGAGCUUGCUCCGCUGACGAGUGGCGAACGGGUGAGUAAUAUAUCGGAACGUGCCUGGUAAUGGGGGACAACUAGUCGAAAGAUUAGCUAAUACCGCAUACGCCCUACGGGGGAAAGAGGGGGAUUCGCAAGAACCUCUCGUUAUCAGAGCGGCCGAUAUCUGAUUAGCUAGUUGGUGAGGUAAAGGCUCACCAAGGCUUCGAUCAGUAGCUGGUCUGAGAGGACGACCAGCCACACUGGGACUGAGACACGGCCCAGACUCCUACGGGAGGCAGCAGUGGGGAAUUUUGGACAAUGGGCGCAAGCCUGAUCCAGCAAUGCCGCGUGAGUGAAGAAGGCCUUCGGGUUGUAAAGCUCUUUUGUCAGGGAAGAAACGGUCUUGGUUAAUACCUGGGGCUAAUGACGGUACCUGAAGAAUAAGCACCGGCUAACUACGUGCCAGCAGCCGCGGUAAUACGUAGGGGUGCAAGCGUUAAUCGGAAUUACUGGGCGUAAAG
rnacentral:rRNA from 1 species